rnacentral:misc_RNA from 1 species
UGGUUCUGGCAUCGAUGAAGAACGCAGCAAAAUGCGAUAAGUAAUGUGAAUUGCAGAAUUCAGUGAAUCAUCGAAUCUUUGAACGCACAUUGCGCCCCGCGGGAUUCCGCGGGGCAUGCCUGUCCGAGCGUCGGUGGAACCCCCCUCGUCCCGGUGCUGUGCGGCAUCGGGGCGGCCUUGGGCAUCGCUGAGCCGGGACCCCCCGGCGAGCGGCGCUUCCAACGUGUCGGCGGCGGCGUCGAGCCCCAGGCGUAACGAAUUGAAGCGCCUCGCGGGGCUCGAUGUGCGCCCGCCUACCCGGGAUCGAGGGUUUUCCCCUCGGUCCCCCCCUCCACACUACGUUCUGACCUCGGAUCAGGUAGGGAUACCCGCUGA